ensembl:lncRNA
GAGGAGCGUCUCGCUGCAGCCUGCGGUGGACAUCCAACCCGGCCCACAUCCAAGUGUGAUGUCACAGACCACGCCCAUAUCAAAAUACGUCACAUUCUCAUUCAUUUUGAAACAGGAAGAAGCAUCGAUAAGAAGAUAAUUUGUAUUGUUUCCCAACCGCUAAAAAAGAAGCUGUUGUUUGCCGUGUCGCAUUCUACACAUUUUCAGUCCAAGCCUGAUGCAGGGCAGUUCUCCCGGGUUAAGGGGUCCCUGCUGCAGUUUCACCAGUAAAGAAAAUUACUUGUUACAAUUCACUCGAAGGACCACAUAAGCCAUGCAGUGGUGCAUGGAGGAGCACCAAGAGGACAUAAAGUGGAAGUUUGUAAGGGGUAUUGGUCCAGCGUGGUACAGAGUCAUCGUGGGUUAUUCUGUGGGGAGGUGACAGGGCCUGCCGUUCUCCAGAUGGACAGUAAAAAUCAACAGAAUGCCAUCAAAGACUACCUGGAGGGAGAAUCAGAGGAUAUAUUAAAGCAAGGAAUCUCUCUGUGUAGUCUAUGUAUGUAUGUGUGUGUACUGCAUGUCAAGAACUGUUUAUCUGAUCAUUCAGCUGCUCAGACUUUAUAAUAUUUGGAGCAUAUUUUUUGUUAAACACAACCAGUCAAAAGUUUUUGAACAGUGAGAUUUUUUAAUGUUUUUAAAGAAAUAUAAUUUAUUAAUCAUGCAUAUAUUUAAUCCGAAGUACAGCAAAAACAGUCCAAUUUUAAAAUAUUUGUAUAAUAUUUUGCUUUUGUAAUAUAUUUUGCUAUUUAAAAUAACAAUUUUAUAAAAU